UAAUAUCGUUUAACCUUUAAUGAAUAAAAUGUAUAAAUAAAUUAAAAAUUAAAAACGAAAUUUUAAUUGAUUUUGAUUAGAUAAUUGAUUAAUAUUAAGAAUAGUAAGAAUUAUCCAAAAUUUGAAAAUAUAAUUUAAAAAAGGGAUAACUUUUGUAUAUCUAUAUUAUUAAAACUGAAGUACAUUUGAGAGUUGUUUGGGUAUAUGAAUAGUAGGAUUAAUAAAAACUGUUUUGUUUGGAUGCAUAGAUAUAGUUAAUACUUUAGAUUUUAAUUUAAAAAUUCGACAUGCUUUUUAAAAACGUGAACAAAACAAAAUAAGGCAUAUAUUUAAUACUUUAGAUUUUAACUUAAAAUAGGAUUAAUAAAAACGGCUAGAUUUUAAUAGAACGUAACUUCCAAGUUAAAAAUAAGGCAUAUAUUUCAAAAACAAAAUAUACACAAAAUCUAAACUUAACAAAAACAUAAUUCCAACACAUUAACUCCACAUAUAUCGAUCUUACAAACUAACAUAUCUAAACGAGAAUCCUAAUUACUUGAUUCCCUCAUUUCACACCUUCUUUAUCCAAUUUUCAAAUAAUAAAUUAUCAAAACCACUUUUAAGUAUAACGACCGAAUAUUCUCUUUUUGUGCUAACAAAUUUAGUUACUUAGGCAACUAAUAUAUAUCUUGCUUGAUUGACUCCACAAAAAUCGUGCUAUUAAAUUUUUAAAAAAAUUCUUUAGAUUACGUAUAACCCACUAUAUAUAUAAACCUUCCCCUCAUAUUCUUCAUACUCACCGUAGCAAAGAAAAAAAAAACUAAAAUGUCUAACAAGUAAAGUAGUUUGGUUUUGUCGAACAAGCAGAGUUUAGUUUUUCUUAACCAAGUCAAACCCUUCAAAGACACUUGGCGAGUACAUGUGAAGUGUCUUCACUCAUGUAAGAUAAACAACAACUCUGGUGAAUCUCUCGAAUGCGUUCUCGUGGAUGAACAAGGUGAGAAACUUCAUGCUUCUGCCAAAAGAAAUCAGAUGUAUCGUCUACAGCGCAACCUUCCUAUUGGUGAAUGGCGGUUUAUUGAGAACUUUACAGUUACGAGUGCUGGAGGUCAAUAUCGAAUAACUACCUCUCCAAAUUACAUUUAUUAUUUUAUCUUUGUUUUUCUAUUAUUAUUAUUUAUUUAUGUGAAAAAAAUUAUUUUAAAAACCUUAUUCUUACAUAUUUUAAAAGUAUUUAUCAUAUAUUAAGAACAAACAGUUUCUGAUGUAAUAUAUAUUGCCUUUUCAACAUUUUUUUCAUUAAUUAUAAAUAAGGUUCCCCAAUAAUUGUAUUAAGAUAGAUUAUAAUAAUAUAGAUUUUAAAUACUGUAUAACAAUUUGACAGAUCUUACACAUCGAGUUACGAAAUAUAUAAUACACAUGAUUUUUUAACCAUAUUGAAUUGAUAUAUUUGGCUUCGUGUAAUUUUCCAUAAACAAAUGAAUAUACAUAAAAUAGAAUAUGUAUUUUUCAUAAAGCUGUAAAUUUGUUAAAACCUAAAUAAAAUAUUGUUUGUUCUCAACAUUUCAAGAUUACACAAUACAGUGACGAAAUACAAAGUUUAAACAGUAAACUUUAAUAAUACAAAUUCGUUCAACUAAAUUAAGAUCUGCAAAUGUUUAUAUAUAUAUCAUAAAAAUAUAGACCCGCCCAGUCGGGCGGGUUAAGAUCUAGUAUUGUAUUGUUAUCUGAAAAAGUCUUUAAGUUUUUUUUUUUUUCCCAAAUUGUUUUUAUUAAUAGAUGGGCCAAGCCCAGGGCCGAAGCCCAAACAUAACAGAAAUUAAACAAACCCCACGAAACGGGCCAGAAGACAUAAACAAACAAUGGGCCAAGCCCAGGAAAUACACGACGGCCACACGGCCCAAACAACUAUAAACCGGGCCGUUCGCCCUAGACACUACCGCCGGAGCUCCGAACCUGCAGAGCCUCCGCACGUACACACACGUUCACCGCCGUACUGUCUUCAUGCCGGAGGGUUCAUCAGAUAACCGAGAACGCCUCCGACUUUGGACCACCAGAAACGGUGGACAGUCGAACCGAGAACCGCAAAAACUUCUUCUAAAAACUUCAUCGCCGUCGCCGGAGAGCUUAAACUGAUAUCUCAUCGACGGCGACCCACGAACCCCUCACAGAUUACAAGAACCAAACCGCCUCUACCAACCUCGAUCUAAUCUACUCCGCAAAGUUUUCACGCCAGAGAAUUUCACCGCCACAUCACGGCUUCUCCGACUUUGAACCACCUCAAACACUGGACAUGCGAAACGAGAACCACCACUUUCUCCCUUUAAACCCUCGUCACCACCACCGGAGGGCUUCAUCGACUACCGAGAAAGCCAACCGCCGUGACCCAAACUCUAACUUUAACCCUAGAAAAAACCCGAUCCAAAAUCAGAUCACAAACCGCUCCAGAAAAGCCCAAAGACCUGGACCCACUUUAGCCGACAGCGCAAGACAUAGGGAGUCUUCACCCUCCGGCGACAAACUCGGCGACGGCGAAGCUGGCAAAGCCUUCGUCUCCCGAUAACAGAACCGACGUCGACGAGGCUGACUCAGCCUCCGUCUCUCGGAGAUAAAACACAAACUGGACAAAACGGACAGCUUCCCCGCACCAGCCUCAACGUGACCGCGCCGUUACUCCAGAACGAGAACCACCGUGGGUGCUUGUUUCAGAGCUAAGGCAAGGCGGAGAGGAGAGGAGGCGAGCUAGAAACGAGAACCACGAGCUUGAUUGGUCACACAAAGGAGCUCCGGCGACGGCACGCACGCUCACGCGCCGUCCGUCGCCGGAAAAAAACUAGAUCUACUUUAUCUCCUUGAGGCUUUCAACACGGUUUCUCGAGUUCACCAUUAAGUUAAAAAGUCUUUAAGUUAAAAAAUUAAAAACAUAAAACUAUAUAACUAAAUAUAAUUAAAUAAAAUUAUUAAUUAUAUAAUUAAAAACCGCGUUAAAAAGUUUAACAUUUAAAAAAAAACACAUACUCUUUUAAAAAUAGUGAAAACCACGUUAAAAAGUUUAACAUUUAAAAAAAAAAUAUGAAUCAAUAAUAAUAAUAUAAAAUUUUAUCCGAAAAACUCAGCAAUAAAUGCAUAAACAAAAAAACAAACAAACUCUAAACCCUAUAAACCUAAGCAUUAUUUUAAACCAAAUCCUAAACCCAAUCUAAACCAAACGCUAAACCAUUCUUACUACCUAAACCUUAAAUCCUACCUAACCCUAAACCCUACCUAAACCAGACCUUAACCCUAU